GGACCCUGAAGCAAAGGAGGUUUCUAACACUGAAGUAUGAUUAUUCUGCAGUCUGGUGAGAGUUCUCUUUGCCUGCGGUAUCACUGCUCUGGAUAAUAGAAUCUUAUUGACGUUGACACAGGCUUGGAGGUCAUCUACCCUUUACAACAAGAGAGCAGACAGGGUCUCAUGAUGCAGUUCAGCCUGGCCUUGAACUCUGGAACUCACAGUGAUCCUCCUGCCUCAGCCUCCUGAGUGCUGGGAUUACAGGUGUGCACCACCACACCUAGCUCCGAAUCCUAUUUUUAAAGAGCACUAAUUUAUAGUUAAAGAAGGAAGGUGAAAACUUUCAACUCUUAUGAUUUGUUCCUGGAGCACAGUUUCAAGAUAAGACAUAUCCUGAAAGUGACAGCAGUGCUCACAGGUCACAGGACUGGAAGUCUCCCCAAGCCCCCUGCAAGCCUGUAACCUGACCAUGCUGUCCAGGCCAGGCAGCCACCUGUCCAAGGAGCCCAAAGCACGGCAGGCAGAGAAUGACACAUUGGCGGAAGUGGACGUACACAAAAAGUGGAACCACAUAGUCACAUGUCAACAGAGGCCAGAACUUGCCUGUUAUGAUCUACACAGUGCCUUCAGAAUUCCACCCCUCUAGUGGUCUGCACCACAGACUCCACACAAAUAAUUUGCCAGUGAAGUGCUUAUAUGUGGAUGGAUCGAAGUUUUUCCUUCAAUUGCCUGAUGAAGUCAAAAUGCUGGAGUAUAAAGAAGAUUGCAUUUCAAAAGUGAAAACCGUGGACCUGUGCUUGGAGAGGAAAGAGACAUUUUAUGUUGGUUUGAUGUUGGAUAUGUAAUGGCAAGAGUGCUAAGAUAUAUAAGGCAUUGUGUGAGAACCUGUUGGAAAACCCUCAAGAAGUAUUGCAUCUCUACCAGCUCUAACAGCAGCUACCAUAUUCCAGGAACUCUGAGAAAUAUGAUAGAUACACAGUGGUAAAUCAGACAGACCAUGUGCAUCCUCAUGUGGACUCAAAUAUAUGAGAUCCUUUCUGUUUGAAAAAGUUAUGGAUUGAAUUGUGUGCCCCAAGGUCAGAUGUUGACACCUUCUGCUCCAGUACCUCAGUGUGUGGUUGUACUCACAAACUGUGUCCU
rnacentral:lncRNA from 1 species